UUACUCAUGGGUGUUGAAAAGGAUAACUCGGCAAUGCCUAUGGAGCCCCUAGUAUAGUACCCAGUACUAGAUGUCUUCGAAGAGCCACCAUACAAGGGUACUGAAUAUUCUGGAGGCAAGAGGAGGACACUGUUUCCAAAGGAGGCUUCCAAAAGAGAAAUCAGAGGAGCCCUGAAAAUAAAGGUCAUUGCAAAAAAUCACUAUUCCUGACUGAUUACUUACCCUUCCUCUCCGUUUUCUUGUUUCUGAUGUGUCUGAUUUUAAAGCUGAGAUUCUACGAUAUGUGACACUGUUGCAGCCUUCGUGCUUAAAUGUCACAGAAAUAUUGGACCCCGAUAAGGCAUUCCUCAGAUAUUACCACCUGGGCAACAAUUACUGCUAGCUACACAGCAAGCUAAGUAUGGGUAUUUGAGAUAUCUUCCUA